rnacentral:rRNA from 1 species
CCUACGGGAGGCAGCAGUAGGGAAUCUUUCACAAUGGGCGAAAGCCUGAUGGAGCAACGCCGCGUGCAGGAUGAAGGCCUUCGGGUUGUAAACUGCUUUUAUAAGCGAGAAAUAUGAUGGUAACUUAUGAAUAAGGAUCGGCUAACUACGUGCCAGCAGCCGCGGUCAUACGUAGGAUCCGAGCAUUAUCCGGAGUGACUGGGUGUAAAGAGUUGCGUAGGUGGGAUAAUAAGUAGCUAGUGAAAUCUGGUGGCUCAACCAUUCAGACUAUUAGCUAAACUGUUAAGCUCGAGACCGUUAGAGGUAAGUGGAAUUUCUAGUGUAGGAGUGAAAUCCGUAGAUAUUAGAAGGAACACCAAUAGCGUAGGCAGGUUGCUGGGACGGUACUGACACUAAGGCACGAAAGCGUAGGGAGCAAACGGGAUUAGAUACCCCUGUAGUC